GCCGCCUUAGCUCAGUGGCAGAGCACUGGUCUCGUAAACCAGGGGUCGUGAGUUCAAAUCUCACAGGCGGCA
rnacentral:tRNA from 1 species